GUUUGAUCCUGGCUCAGGAUGAACGCUGGCGGCGUGCUUAACACAUGCAAGUCGAACGGGCCUUCGGGCUAGUGGCGGACGGGUGAGUAACGCGUGGGAAUCUGCCCUCAGGAGGGGGAUAACGGCCGGAAACGGCCGCUAAUACCCCAUAUGCCGAGAGGUGAAAUGAAUUUCGCCUGAGGAUGAGCCCGCGUCUGAUUAGCUAGUUGGUGAGGUAAUGGCUCACCAAGGCAUCGAUCAGUAGCUGGUCUGAGAGGAUGAUCAGCCACACUGGGACUGAGACACGGCCCAGACUCCUACGGGAGGCAGCAGUGGGGAAUUUUCCGCAAUGGGCGCAAGCCUGACGGAGCAACGCCGCGUGAGGGACGAAGGCCUCUGGGCUGUAAACCUCUUUUCUCAAGGAAGAAGACAUGACGGUACUUGAGGAAUAAGCCACGGCUAAUUCCGUGCCAGCAGCCGCGGUAAUACGGGAGUGGCAAGCGUUAUCCGGAAUUAUUGGGCGUAAAGCGUCCGCAGGCGGCCUUGAAAGUCUGUUGUUAAAGCGUGGAGCUCAACUCCAUUUCAGCAAUGGAAACUACAAGGCUAGAGUGUGGUAGGGGCAGAGGGAAUUCCCGGUGUAGCGGUGAAAUGCGUAGAUAUCGGGAAGAACACCAGUGGCGAAGGCGCUCUGCUGGGCCAUAACUGACGCUCAUGGACGAAAGCCAGGGGAGCGAAAGGGAUUAGAUACCCCUGUAGUCCUGGCCGUAAACGAUGAACACUAGGUGUCGGGAGAAUUAACCCUUUCGGUGUCGUAGCCAACGCGUUAAGUGUUCCGCCUGGGGAGUACGCACGCAAGUGUGAAACUCAAAGGAAUUGACGGGGGCCCGCACAAGCGGUGGAGUAUGUGGUUUAAUUCGAUGCAACGCGAAGAACCUUACCAGGGUUUGACAUCCUGCGAAUCCUUUGGAAACUUAGGAGUGCCUUCGGGAGCGCAGUGACAGGUGGUGCAUGGCUGUCGUCAGCUCGUGUCGUGAGAUGUUGGGUUAAGUCCCGCAACGAGCGCAACCCACGUCUUUAGUUGCCAGCAUUUAGUUGGGCACUCUAGAGAGACCGCCGGUGAUAAACCGGAGGAAGGUGUGGAUGACGUCAAGUCAUCAUGCCCCUUACAUCCUGGGCUACACACGUACUACAAUGCUACGGACAAAGGGCAGCAAACUCGCGAGAGCUAGCAAAUCCCAUAAACCGUGGCUCAGUUCAGAUCGUAGGCUGCAACUCGCCUACGUGAAGGAGGAAUCGCUAGUAAUCGCAGGUCAGCAUACUGCGGUGAAUACGUUCCCGGGCCUUGUACACACCGCCCGUCACACCAUGGAAGUUGGCCAUGCCCGAAGUCGUUACUCCAACCCGCAAGGGAGGAGGACGCCGAAGGUGGGGCUGAUGACUGGGGUGAAGUCGUAACAAGGUA
rnacentral:rRNA from 1 species